rnacentral:rRNA from 1 species
UACGUAGGGGGCAAGCGUUGUUCGGAAUUACUGGGCGUAAAGGGCGCGUAGGCGGUUCGAUAAGUCAGCUGUGAAAACCAUGGGCUUAACUCAUGGCCUGCAGUUGAGACUGUCGGGCUGGAGUGUGGGAGAGGAGAGUGGAAUUCCUGGUGUAGCGGUGAAAUGCGUAGAUAUCAGGAGGAACACCGGUGGCGAAGGCGGCUCUCUGGACCACAACUGACGCUGAGGCGCGAAAGCUAGGGGAGCAAACAGG